rnacentral:pre_miRNA from 10 species
CCCCCCACUCCAGGGUAAGUGGAAAGUCGGUGGACCUCAGAACAUGUGCUGAAUUCGUGCCAUAUGUCUGCGGACCACCCACCCGCCUUGAGGAGACCCCUCUCGCAAG